GCGACAAGCACCGCCGCUUCUCAACUGCAAGGCCGCCGGCACCUCAAGCUCAUCAACGUCGAUUUGACAAUCCAAAGGUUCGAAUCAAGGUGAUCGCUAAAUCGAGGAAAGGGAUUAUUAUCGGAAAUUGAGGAAUUACGCUCAAGUCAAUAAGGGGAUAAUUCUGCAGGUGCUGAUUAGUGGUGGUUGAGUGACGACUACAGAGGCUCGAAGUCGUUCGGAUCCUACUUGUGGUGAGAUUUUAGCAUGGAUUCGUGUGUGAGGAUUUGUGUAUUUUCAUUUGUGAGAUUUGUGAGUGAUUUGUGAGAAUUAUUACAUUUCCAUUUUGUGUAUGGAUUAUAAUUUGGGUUGUAAUAAUUGGUUGUCUGAGUUGUAUUGAGAACUCAGAAAUGAUCCGCUGCGACAUUAAAAUGAUUUCGGUUUAUUUGAGAUUAUUUUUGUGUUUAACGAUUCUAAGAUUUUGAGUUUUGAAGCUCGA